GCGCGGGUAGCUCAGCGGAUAGAGCGCCGGUUUCCGAGGCCGGAUGUCGGUGGUUUGAAUCCACCUUCGCGCACCA
rnacentral:tRNA from 1 species